GCACAUUUAAAAGUGAGAGAAUAUAGUCAAACAGGGGUUGCAUCACCCCACAUUCCCCCAAUUUCAAUUGUUUUCAGUUGUUCCGUUUUUAAAUUAACCAUUGCCCAAGUGGGUUGGUAGGAACUCUGGUAGUUGUUCAUUAAUAUUAUAUGGUAAUGUGUUCAUGUGAAGUAGUAAUAUCUAGACGCAAUCAACCCCAUACAGUAAUUAUCACUAGUUUAUGUUUCGCCUUGGACUGGAAUCUGAAGACUGUGACUGAUCUGUGUGCUUGAUGGCUGUGAUUUUAGAAUGAACUCUCCUUGAAUAUUG